AGUAACACGUGAGUAACCUGCCCCUGACUUCGGGAUAAGCCCGGGAAACUGGGUCUAAUACCGGAUACGACUGCCGGACGCAUGUCUGGUGGUGGAAAGUUUUUUCGGUUGGGGAUGGGCUCGCGGCCUAUCAGUUUGUUGGUGAGGUAAUGGCUCACCAAGACGACGACGGGUAGCCGGCCUGAGAGGGCGACCGGCCACACUGGGACUGAGACACGGCCCAGACUCCUACGGGAGGCAGCAGUGGGGAAUAUUGCACAAUGGGGGAAACCCUGAUGCAGCGACGCAGCGUGCGGGAUGACGGCCUUCGGGUUGUAAACCGCUUUCAGCAGGGAAGAAGCGCAAGUGACGGUACCUGCAGAAGAAGUACCGGCUAACUACGUGCCAGCAGCCGCGGUAAUACGUAGGGUACGAGCGUUGUCCGGAAUUAUUGGGCGUAAAGAGCUCGUAGGUGGUUGGUCACGUCUGCUGUGGAAACGCAACGCUUAACGUUGCGCGUGCAGUGGGUACGGGCUGACUAGAGUGCAGUAGGGGAGUCUGGAAUUCCUGGUGUAGCGGUGAAAUGCGCAGAUAUCAGGAGGAACACCGGUGGCGAAGGCGGGACUCUGGGCUGUAACUGACACUGAGGAGCGAAAGCAUGGGGGAGCGAACAGGAUUAGAUACCCUGGUAGUCCAUGCCGUAAACGUUGGGCACUAGGUGUGGGGGGCAUUCCACGUUCUCCGCGCCGUAGCUAACGCAUUAAGUGCCCCGCCUGGGGAGUACGGUCGCAAGGCUAAAACUCAAAGGAAUUGACGGGGGCCCGCACAAGCGGCGGAGCAUGCGGAUUAAUUCGAUGCAACGCGAAGAACCUUACCAAGGCUUGACAUACACCGGACCGUCCUGGAAACAGGUCCUCUUCUUUGAAGCUGGUGUACAGGUGGUGCAUGGUUGUCGUCAGCUCGUGUCGUGAGAUGUUGGGUUAAGUCCCGCAACGAGCGCAACCCUCGUUCUAUGUUGCCAGCACGUGAUGGUGGGAACUCAUAGGAGACUGCCGGGGUCAACUCGGAGGAAGGUGGGGAUGACGUCAAAUCAUCAUGCCCUUUAUGUCUUGGGCUUCACGCAUGCUACAAUGGCUGGUACAGAGAGAGGCGAACCCGUGAGGGCAAGCGAAUCCCUUAAAGCCAGUCUCAGUUCGGAUCGUAGUCUGCAAUUCGACUACGUGAAGUCGGAGUCGCUAGUAAUCGCAGAUCAGCAACGCUGCGGUGAAUACGUUCCCGGGCCUUGUACACACCG
rnacentral:rRNA from 1 species